UGACCGCUGGCGGCGUGCCUAAUACAUGCAAGUCGAGCGAACAGACGAGGAGCUUGCUCCUCUGACGUUAGCGGCGGACGGGUGAGUAACACGUGGAUAACCUUCCUAUAAGACUGGGAUAACUUCGGGAAACCGGAGCUAAUACCGGAUAAUAUAUUGAACCGCAUGGUUCAAUAGUGAAAGACGGUUUUGCUGUCACUUAUAGAUGGAUCCGCGCCGCAUUAGCUAGUUGGUAAGGUAACGGCUUACCAAGGCAACGAUGCGUAGCCGACCUGAGAGGGUGAUCGGCCACACUGGAACUGAGACACGGUCCAGACUCCUACGGGAGGCAGCAGUAGGGAAUCUUCCGCAAUGGGCGAAAGCCUGACGGAGCAACGCCGCGUGAGUGAUGAAGGUCUUCGGAUCGUAAAACUCUGUUAUUAGGGAAGAACAAAUGUGUAAGUAACUAUGCACGCCUUGACGGUACCUAAUCAGAAAGCCACGGCUAACUACGUG
rnacentral:rRNA from 1 species